AUACGGAGGGUGCGAGCGUUGUUCGGAAUUAUUGGGCGUAAAGCGCGUGUAGGCGGUUUGUUAAGUCUGAUGUGAAAGCCCCGGGCUCAACCUGGGAAGUGCAUUGGAUACUGGCAGACUUGAAUACGGGAGAGGGCAGUGGAAUUCCUGGUGUAGGAGUGAAAUCCGUAGAUAUCAGGAGGAACACCGGUGGCGAAGGCGCCUUUCUGGACUGUGUCUGACGCUCAGAUGCGAAAGCUAGGGUAGC
rnacentral:rRNA from 1 species